rnacentral:rRNA from 1 species
AUACGAAGGGGGCUAGCGUUGUUCGGAAUUACUGGGCGUAAAGGAUGCGUAGGCGGAUAUGUAAGUCAGAUGUGAAAUCCCGGGGCUCAACCUCGGAACUGCCUUUGAUACUGGGUGUCUAGAGUGUGGAAGAGGUAAGUGGAAUUCCGAGUGUAGAGGUGAAAUUCGUAGAUAUUCGGAGGAACACCAGUGGCGAAGGCGGCUUACUGGUCCAUUACUGACGCUGAGGUGCGAAAGCGUGGGGAGC